rnacentral:rRNA from 1 species
GACGAACGCUGGCGGCGUGCUUAACACAUGCAAGUCGAACGGUGAAGCUCCAGCUUGCUGGAGUGGAUCAGUGGCGAACGGGUGAGUAACACGUGAGCAACCUGCCCCUGACUCUGGAAUAAGCGCUGGAAACGGCGUCUAAUACUGGAUACGAGAAGGGUCCGCAUGGGCACUUUCUGGAAAGUUUUUCGGUUGGGGAUGGGCUCGCGGCCUAUCAGCUUGUUGGUGAGGUAAUGGCUCACCAAGGCGACGACGGGUAGCCGGCCUGAGAGGGCGACCGGCCACACUGGGACUGAGACACGGCCCAGACUCCUACGGGAGGCAGCAGUGGGGAAUAUUGCACAAUGGGCGAAAGCCUGAUGCAGCGACGCCGCGUGAGGGAUGACGGCCUUCGGGUUGUAAACCUCUUUCAGCAGGGAAGAAGCGAUAGUGACAGUACCUGCAGAAGAAGCACCGGCUAACUACGUG